rnacentral:snRNA from 1 species
GUGCUCACUUCAGCAGCACAUAUACUAACCGGAACAAUAAAGAAAACUAGCAUGGCUCCUGUGCAAGGAUACACAAAAACUUGUGAAACAUUCUCUAUUGUU